UAUUUUCUACUUACUCUUCAAGAAGGCUGUUAAAUCCCUGCUGAAACACUGCAGCCCCUCCCAUCCACAGGGCUUCCUGCCAGAAGCAUGUCUCUAUCUUCAGCUCGGGCCGCCGGCCCCAGCUUCUUUCCCAUAGACACGCUGCAGCCAAUGAGAGAGGAGUGGGCGUGAGAUGUGGGCGGGGACUUUGGUGAUGUCAUUUCCCCGCCCACGUCAGUCACGCUGGGGUCCUUCUCUCUUGUUCUGCUCCCAGCCCCGCCCAGCCCUCCUGAAAAGCUGUUCACUUGGCUGGCAGCGUCUGUGACUCGAUCCUUAGUUACUAGCUCUGUAAGGAUUAAUCUGGAAUAAAUUCACGGCCUUGUGGAGCUAAUAUCUUUUGUGCCAAGGUUUUCGAGAACUGUUAUGAUUUGAUCAAGAUCAAAGGGAGACCCAAGAGAUGAAUAUGGUUAUGCAGAGCCCAGAUAUUAAACUUUUAGCACUCUGGGCAAUGUGAAUUACAACUUCAAGCACCGGUACAACAGAUUGUUGGUUGAAGAGCACUGCAGAUUUUAAGGAUACCGUACAUAACCGUCGUCUAGCCAACGUUAUCAGGCUACAGUGAACUAGCAUCAACUUGCAUCAUACAAUGGGAACAAAAUAACAUUAUGGCAAUAGGUACAUAGCAAAGGAGUUAAAUCAGUCUGCUCUGCAGGCCUGCACUGUGCUUUUGUACUUAACUAUAAUCAAAAAAAUUUGUGUGUGACCAAAACCACUAUAAAUUAAUUAAAGCCGGCCUGGCCCACCAACAUAGCAAUACAGUAAA